CUGCCACGUCUGUACCCACUCAUUUCGUCUCAUUUUCUCCCCUUUUGUUCCCCCGCUUCGUUUGUAUUAGAAGGGAGAGAGAGGAUUUGUGGAAUUGUUCGUUGUAUUCCUUGAGCCUCGUGGGCAUAUGUAUAUAGGAGUACAAUGAUCAACUUGGAAUACAAGACAAGCCAGAAAAAAUCCUAGUCUAUCUCGUCUUUCCUAAUAAUCAAUGUACUCAGCAUCCCCCGCAGUCACAACGGUAGCGACGCAGACGGUGAGACUGGAGAAAAAUCCGAAGGUAAGCCGACAGACACCUCCCCACAGUCGUAACGGUCGAUGCAUCGCGAAGUCGUGGCUGGAGUGGAAACCGACGAGGUUGCUCAAGCAAGGCGGUAGCCCUUUGCGCCGUUUGUCGAGGUAGCCGAGAGCAUAGGUGGUGUAACCGUAGUCGAGGUAGCCGUGCGAAGAACGGCGUGGUCGGUGCCGAGUCAGGGUCGUCGAUGUCGAGGUAGUCGCCAUGGAGCCGCGGAAGAAGAGCAGCGGCGACCUAAGGAGGCGGCGGCGCCGGUGGCUAGAGAAGGAGCACAACGGCGGUGCUCGAAGUAGGCGAUAAUGAACCUGACAGCGUGACGAAGACUGGCGCGGACGGUGACGUUCCUACGCCAAGGGAGGCGGCGCGGCGCAUAUCAGAAGGAAGUCAACGCGCGUGAACGACGUGGACCGCGGGCCGCAGCGUUACGGCCCGAAGGGGCGACGCAACGGCGGUGGGCAGGUCGGGGCGACGACGGGGAAGACCUCAGGAAGGUUGCAGGGAUCGCGUGCCACGCUCGCUACGGCUCGACGGGGCGACGUAGCGGCAACGUGAGGGUCGGUGCAACCUCGGGGACGGCCUAGAGCGGACGGCCUCGGUGCGGCGGUUGACCGCGGGCCGUGGCACUAUGACCCGAAGGGGCGACGCAGCGACAGCGCGCGAGGUGGUGCAACCACGGGAACGGCCUCAGGGCGACGAUGGAGAUCAUGUGCCGCGGCACUACGACCUGAAGGGGCGACGCAGCGGCGGCGGGGAUCGGUGCAGCCACGGGGAGAACCACGGGGCGGCGGCGCUGCGGCCCGACGGGGCGACACAGCGGCAGCCUGUUGCUCGAUCGAUGAAGAGGCGUGUAAACUUGACGUUGAUCUUCACUAAAUCCUGCGGAAGCGUGCAUCGAAUUAUCAGACUGGAUGGGACGGUGCGGGAGCAGGAGCCCGCUAUCAAGGAGAUGUGCCAAGGUAAAACUGAGCGAAUUCCAUCCUUCUUGACCGAAGAUGUUAUUUCUUUUGACAUUUUGUGAUUUUUACAGCUCGCUUUAAAAAUUUGUACGGGUCGGCCGAAUAUACGGUACCUUUUCGGAUUGUUUUUGUACCCUAUACCGUAUAUCAGCAAUUAUUUUGCGGGUCGGACAGAUUUGCUAAAAAUGCACUUAAUUUUGACGUAUAUGUGUAGUACUAGUGGUUUUUUCAUAAAUAAAAAUGCGAGGGUAUUUGUGCAAAGAUACAUCACGCCGAGCGCCGCUUACGCCGGUAGGGCCGUACACAUGAUGCACCCUCAUACGCGUAUUAUGAUUUUAUAUGCACGUUUGAGUCAAAUUAAAUGACCAUAAAAUUGUAUUUUUAAAAUUUUAGCAUCAAACUGAAAUUACGACGCAAGUUUCUAUGACUCCAAAGGAUAUUAUCUUGACUAGCAUAACUAUGAGGUGGCAAAGCGUGACAAAAGGGAAGCUAGCUCUCCCUCCCUUCGAAUUCAAAAUGAGGAAAAGCUCCCUCUGUCUCUCUCCCGCGACUGGCUGCGGCGGCCAAACGAGGGCAUUGGCGGCGGCAGAGAAGCUUCCAGAAGAAUCUUCGCCCGCGCGGAUGGAGAACCGACAGAAUACUGGCCUCAAGAAGCGGAAGCUUCUGAGGACGGUGCGGGAGCAGGAGCCUGCUAUCUGUGGAAAUUGUAGAAGCGUCUCAACCCCCAACAUGGGAGCCCGCAUGAUAUAUAUUGAUUGAGGCGAGGCCAGAUCUCGCAGAGGCAUACAAGGUUCGGUUGUUAACAACCAGAUAGAUUACAUGGAGAGAUAAGGAGAAUAUCAAGUUAAAUGAUAACUAUGCUAACAACUAGAGAUCUCCUAACUACUCCAAAGUCUUGGCUACCAAGCAAUAGUCGCCGUGACACAUGUAUGUUUAACACUCCCCCAUAAUCACAACUAGCAUAAGUUGAGAUUACGUUUGAACUCUUCAAAACCUUUGAAUGGCAAUGCCUUUGUGAACCCAUCCGCAAGCUGACUUUUGGAAGGUAUAAACCUGAUCUCAAGCUGUUUAUUGGCAACACGUUCUCGUACAAAGUGAAAGUCUAUUUCAAUGUGCUUUGUCCUGGCAUGAAAAACUGGGUUAGCAGAUAAAUAUGUAGCACCAAGAUUGUCACACCACAAACAAGGAGGCUGAAUCUGAGUCACCCCAAGUUCUCUGAGCAUAGACUGAACCCAAAUAAUUUCUGCCGUUGCAUUUGCUAAUGCUUUAUACUCUGCUUCUGUGCUUGAUCUGGAAACAAUAGCUUGUUUUCUUGCGCACCAUGAUAUCAAGUUAGGUCCAUAAAAGAUAGCAAAACCACCUGUUGACCUUCUGUCAUCCAAACAACCAGCCCAGUCUGCAUCUGAGUAGGCACUGACACGUGUGGAGGAUGACUUGCUGAAUGUGAGACCCAAGUGUAUAGUGCUUCUUAUGUACCUGAGAAUUCGUUUUGCAGCUGUCCAGUGAGCUGUGGUAGGUGCAUGAAGAUACUGACACACUUUAUUGACUGCAAAGGAGAUGUCAGGUCGUGUAAGAGUCAAAUACUGAAGUCCACCGACUAGGCUCCUGUAACCUGUAAUAUCCUCUUGAUGCAGAGGCUGUCCUUCUGUCAAGGACAAAGGUUCUGAACUAGACAAAGGUGUUGGUGAAGAUUUACAAUUCUGCAUGCCAAUUCUGCUUAGUAGUUCAGUAGCAUACUUUUCCUGAGAUAGAUGAAUACCAUUGCUGUGUUUCUUGACCUCAAUGCCCAAGAAGAAAUGCAGAUCUCCCAAGUCCUUGAGUGCAAACUCAGAGCCUAGAUCCUUGAGUAAUGCUGUCACAGCUCCAUCAGAAGAACUAGUGACAAUUAUGUCAUCAACAUAUAUUAAAACAAAUAUGGAUGUUUUGUGCUUGUUAUAGAUGAACAAGGAGGUGUCAGAUUUUGAUGGAACAAAGCCAAGUGAUUGGAGUUUCAUACUUAACUGUGAAUACCACGCCCUGGGUGCCUGCUUCAACCCAUACAAGGCCUUGUCAAGCUUGCAGACAUAGGAUGGUGCAUCUUUAUCUUCAAACCCAGGAGGCUGUUUCAUGUACACUUCCUCUUCCAGAACACCAUGAAGAAACGCGUUCUGAACAUCUAGCUGCCUCAGACUCCAACCCCUGGACACAGCUAUUGAUAACACAAGACGGAUUGUUGCAGCUUUAACAACAGGACUGAAUGUGUCCUCAUAAUCUAUUCCAUACCUUUGCUUGAAGCCCUUGGCUACAAGUCUUGCUUUGUAUCUAUCUAUAGUACCAUCAGACUUCUUCUUGAUUCGAUAUACCCACUUACAAUCAAUCAAAUUUCUGCCUGGUCGAGGGGGCACUAGGUGCCACGUUUUAUUUUUACGCAGCGCCAUGAUUUCAUCUUCCAUGGCCGCCUUCCACCUAGGAUCACCAAGUGCUGUCAUUAAACUGUUAGGUUCACCAGUUGUGCAUGACAUACCGAUUUUUGAGAAAUUUUUAUAAUUUAACCGAGUGGUAAUUCCCUUCUGUAGCCUGGUGCGCGGCGCCACAGGAGAAACCACAGGAGAUGAAGCCGCAGAAGAUCCGCCGGUCGAAUCAGCCUCAGGUGCUGGCGACUCAGAUCCCGAGGAGGAUUGUGUCGCGCCUGUGGGCGACCGCCUCGGUGGUGAAGCGGCUGGCCCGGUCAAAUCUGGUGCAGUGGCGGGCCCUGGCGCAGUGGCGGGCCCUGGCGAGACCGGCGCGGACCAACCAGGUGAGGCGGGGUCGGGCGCGCGAGUAUCUGCCAGCCACGCGUCGUCAGGCGGUUGGCGCGGGGCAGCGCCGUCGUUGUCCUGAUCACGCGCCUGCUCGAGGCGCUCGGGCCCCGAGGCACGACCAGGUGCUGUGCGCCCGGAUCCCGGAGAGGAUAUUGGGGCGAAUCCUCCUCGAUGUGCAUGCAUGUCGCCAGUCAGGGGGCACAUGAAAUCACGCCUGUUGCCUUCUUCUUCUGGAUUUAAAUCUGCAGCAUUAAUCUCAGGCAUAAUAUGAUGAUUAGAGGCAAGUUGGUCAGUACUAUUAUUCUCUCCCCCAUGAUCAACGCCGGUUAAGGUAGAAGGCAACAGAAGAAUUUCUUUGCGAAGCAAAGCGCCGGCAUUUGGGUGGAGUUUAGCAAAAGGGAACACCGUUUCAUCAAAGACAACAUCUCGGGAGAUAUACACGCGUCCCGUGGCUACAUCGAGACACUUGACACCUUUAUGUUGUGCGCUGUAGCCUAUGAAGACACAUUGUGUUGAUCGAAACAUGAGUUUCCUAUUAUUAUAGGGACGAAGGUUGGGCCAACAUGCGCAACCAAACACACGAAGAUGAGAAUACUCAGGCUUGAUAUGAAGUAGACGUUCAGUGGGUGUCUCAAAGUUGAUGACACGACUAGGUAAAAUAUUUAUGAGGUGCACCGCGGUGAGGAACGCCUCAUCCCAAAACUUGAGUGGCAUGGAUGCUCCGGCGAGGAGGGAAAGACCAACGUCGACAAUGUGUCUAUGCUUGCGCUCCGCGGAACCAUUUUGUUGGUGAGCGUGAGGGCAAGAAACAUGAUGAGAAAUCCCUAUCUGUUGGAAAAAGGAGUUAAGUUUCUCGUAUUCCCCUCCCCAGUCUGAUUGCAUGGCAAGUAUUUUGCAAUUGAAUUGUCGUUCGACAAGAGCUUGAAAGUUAAGAAAAACUUGGAAAACAUCGGAGCGUUUCUUAAGGAGGUAUAUCCAUGUAUACUUGCUAAAAUCAUCGAUGAAACUCACGUAAUAGGUGUGCCGACCGACAGAGGAGGGGGCCGGUCCCCAUACAUAAGAAAACACAAGUCGCAAGGGUUUUGUUGAAACACUAUUGGAAAUAGGAUAUGGCAACUGAUGGCUUUUUGCUCUUUGGCAAGAGUCACAAAUAGUUUCAUGAUCAUGCUCGUCAACAAACGCGAGCUUAUUUUUGCUAAGAAUUUGAUAAACAACGGAAAAAGAUGGGUGGCCUAAAUGAUUAUGCCAUCGUUCUGAGGACACCUUGAAAGCUCCAUAUGCUUGCUUAUUGAACUUGGAAAUUGUGGGGAUCAACGGAUAGAGACCUUGCACACAUCUACCGCGAUAAAGCACCCUCCUCGUGACCUGAUCCUUGAUCAAAAAGAAAAAGGGAUGAAACUCUAUGAAGACACCAUUGUCAAGAGUAAUGCGAUGAACUGACAGAAGAUUUUUUGAUGCAUUAGGAAUAUGCAGAACAUCAUCUACACGAAUAUCACGAUGUGGGGUUUGAAUAAUAGACUUGCCAACAUGACUUAUCAUCAUACCUGAACCGUUUUCAGCAGUGUGGACUUGAUCUUGGCCUUGAUACUUCUCGUGCAUGGUCAUCUUCUCAAGCUCAGAGGUGAUGUUCUCAUUUGAGCCAGAGUCAAGAUACCAAUUUGAGUCCACUCCGUAUGAGGCAUCUGCUGCGGCUGCAACACGCCUCCUUCUGGAAUUGUCCUCUGCAUAGCGCCACUUGCAUUCUUUUGCGAUAUGGUUAGUUUUCUUACAGAUUUGGCAUUUGUUUUCAUACUCCUCGUACCCCAUGAAGCGAGCGCCUUGAUUGUUGUUGUAGUAGUGGCGAGGGGGGCCGUUGUUGUUGUAGUAGCCCCCGCCACUGCCGCCACGAUGGCCACCACUGUUGCCGUGGUUGUUGUAGCUGCCGCCACCUCCAUGAUUGUAGGCGCCUCCGCCAGCGCCAGGGUAGCCGCUGCUAGGGUUUUGGCCACCGCCGCCAGGAUAACCCCCGCCACGGCCGCCGUUCUUCUGGUUCCGGUAGCCGCCUUUGCCUCCGCCCGAGCGACCUCUGGACGCUGUGUUGGCCGAUGACUUGAAGCCACCGGCGCCGUUGAACAUCUCAACGCGCUGAUCGAAAUUGGCCACCAUGGAGAAAAGCGCGUCGACGGUGAUGGGCUCGGUGCGGACGUCGAGUGCGGAGAUGAUCGGCUGAUACUCCAUGUCAAGCCCGGCGACGAUGAAGGAGAUGAGCUCUCCCUCCCCGAGCGGCUUGCCCGCCGCCGCAAGCUCGUCAGAGAGGGCCCGCAUCUGCCCGAAGUAGGUGGAAGCCGAUUGAGAUCCCUUCUGGGCAUUGGUGAGGGCAGAUCUGAUGUUGUUCACGCGAGACAAGGAGACUGCAGAGAACAUAUUUGCUAGUGCCGACCAGAUUGCAUGAGAUGAUUCAAGCGAAGCCACUUGGACUAGCACCUCCUUGGACAGAUUACGAAGGAGAUAUGCUACGAUUUGCUGAUCUUGAACUAACCAGGGAUUAUGGGCAGGAUUGGGAACUACCUGUUCCUUACCAUCUUUAUCUUUGCUAGUGAUUGUUUUGGGAGGCUCCUCUAUGGUUUGAUCUAUGUAGCCAAACAGGCCGGCGCCCAGUAUCUGGGAUCGCGCCUGGGCUCGCCAGAGAACGUAGUUCGUCCGGCUGAGGGGUUCUGAUGUGUUGUAGUUGAGGCCAGAGGAGGUGAUUGCGGUGGAGGAGGACAUGGCUGCGGCGUGAUGGGUUGAGGAUGAAGAAGAUGAAGAAGGAUGAGCUAGAUGCUAUGGAAGAGGCCUGCUCUGUAUACCAUGUGGAAAUUGUAGAAGCGUCUCAACCCCCAACAUGGGAGCCCGCAUGAUAUAUAUUGAUUGAGGCGAGGCCAGAUCUCGCAGAGGCAUACAAGGUUCGGUUGUUAACAACCAGAUAGAUUACAUGGAGAGAUAAGGAGAAUAUCAAGUUAAAUGAUAACUAUGCUAACAACUAGAGAUCUCCUAACUACUCCAAAGUCUUGGCUACCAAGCAAUAGUCGCCGUGACACAUGUAUGUUUAACACUAUCAAGGAGAUGUGCCAAGCCCUGAAGGAGAUGGAAAGCAAGGUCAAGAACCUCCGGGACGACAACAACCGGCUCCGCGGCGAGCUGCUCGACAAGGACCGGCAGCUUGCGGUGACGCGGACACUUUUAGUUGACAGGGAGCGUCAGCUUACGAAGACCCAGACACUUCUAGCUGACAGGGAGCAGCAGCUUGAGGCCCGGACACUUCUGGUUGACA